rnacentral:rRNA from 1 species
AGUGAACGCUGGCGGCGUGCUUAACACAUGCAAGUCGAACGAGAACGGAUUAUAGCUUGCUAUAAUUGUCAGCUAAGUGGCGCACGGGUGAGUAAUGUAUAGAUAACCUGCCCUCUAGAAAGGAAUAACAGAUGGAAACGUCUGCUAAUGCCCUAUAUGCCUUUAAUACAUAAGUAUGCAAGGGAAACGCUUUAGUGCUAGAGGAUGGGUCUGUAUGGUAUCAGUUUGUUGGUGAGGUAAUGGCUCACCAAGACUAUGACGCCUAACUGGUUUGAGAGGAUGAUCAGUCACACUGGAACUGAGACACGGUCCAGACUCCUACGGGAGGCAGCAGUGGGGAAUAUUGCACAAUGGACGAAAGUCUGAUGCAGCAACGCCGCGUGGAGGAUGACACAUUUCGGUGCGUAAACUCCUUUUAUAUAGGAAGAUAAUGACGGUACUAUAUGAAUAAGCACCGGCUAACUCCGUGCCAGCCGCCGCCGUAA